AGUGAACGCUGGCGGUAUGCCUAACACAUGCAAGUCGAACGGCAGCACAGUAAGAGCUUGCUCUUACGGGUGGCGAGUGGCGGACGGGUGAGGAAUACAUCGGAAUCUACUUUUUCGUGGGGGAUAACGUAGGGAAACUUACGCUAAUACCUCAUACGACCUACGGGUGAAAGCAGGGGAUCUUCGGACCUUGCGCGAUUGUAUGAGCCGAUGUCGGAUUAGCUAGUUGGCGGGGUAAAGGCCCACCAAGGCGACGAUCCGUAGCUGGUCUGAGAGGAUGAUCAGCCACACUGGAACUGAGACACGGUCCAGACUCCUACGGGAGGCAGCAGUGGGGAAUAUUGGACAAUGGGCGCAAGCCUGAUCCAGCCAUGCCGCGUGGGUGAAGAAGGCCUUCGGGUUGUAAAGCCCUUUUGUUGGGAAAGAAAAGCAGCAGGUUAAUACCCCGCUGUUCUGACGGUACCCAAAGAAUAAGCACCGGCUAACUUCGUG
rnacentral:rRNA from 1 species